CACGUAGGGUGCGAGCGUUGUCCGGAAUUAUUGGGCGUAAAGAGCUCGUAGGCGGUUUGGUAAGUCGGGUGUGAAAUCUCCACGCUACAACGUGGAGGGGCCACUCGAUACUGCCAUGACUCGAGUCCGGUAGAGGAGUGUGGAAUUCCCGGGUGUAGCGGUGAAAUGCGCAGAGUAAUCGGGAGGAACACCCGUAGCGAAGGGCGGCACUCUGGGCCGGAACUGACGCUGAGGAGCGAAAGCGUGGGAGCAAACAGG
rnacentral:rRNA from 1 species